AUAAGGAGUGUAAACAAACACCACCCAGUGUGGACUUUCAAGAUCAUCUAUCGACUAAACUAGCCAGUUAUCUCGAUACACUGUAGCUGGUGUAGUUAAAAAAUAAUGGAAGAUAGAAGCCUUCCUCGUAUUGUGGUCAUUGCACUGUCUGUGCUGAUUUACAUUUCUGCUUUAGCAAUUAAUGCCAUGGCAGGCGCUGGAAAAGGACCAUUCCAUUCGAGUACAGGGAACAUUUCCAAGAAGUAUGAAACCGACAUAACUCCGGCCGGAUGGACCUUUUCUAUCUGGGGGCUCAUCUACACCUGGUUGUCUCUCAUGCUCAUCUAUGUCAUCUCCUUCCUCUACAGAAGGAGCUGGACCCUCUUUGUGCUGCCGUACGGUUUCUACGUGUCCUGGAUAGUCAACAUGGCCUUCAACAUGACCUGGCUUGUCCUAUGGGUUCAAGAGUGCGCAACAGUCUUUUAACACCUAAACCAAUGAGUUUCUGUUGCCUGACUAACCUGUUUUUAAGUAGAUGGGUGGAAGCAAAAUACUGCAUCUCCACUUCCCCCAUGGCUAGACCAGCCCUGCGCCAAUGUUCGCGUGAUCAUUUUGCCUAUCUCCACCAGGCGCAAUCAUUACAUGUCACAGUUGUAAAUGAGAACUUGUUCUCGGCUAGCCGACCUGGUGAAAAUAAAAAAGAAAAUUGUCUGAUCAAAACACCAAGGUAACUUGUGGAUCAAUGAGAAGUCUUUUUUUACUGUUCCGCACAG
ensembl:lncRNA